rnacentral:misc_RNA from 1 species
GAUGAAGAACGCAGCGAAAUGCGAUAAGUAAUGUGAAUUGCAGAAUUCAGUGAAUCAUCGAAUCUUUGAACGCACAUUGCGCCCGCCAGUAUUCUGGCGGGCAUGCCUGUUCGAGCGUCAUUUCAACCAUCAAGCCCCAGGCUUGUGUUGGGGACCUGCGGCUGCCGCAGGCCCUGAAAACCAGUGGCGGGCUCGCUGUCACACCGGGCGUAUUAGAUUUUAUCUCGCUCAGGGCGUGCUGCGGGUUCCGGCCGUUAAAAAGCCUUUUUUACCCAAGGUUGACCUCGGAUCAGGUAGGAAGACCCGCUGAACUUAAGCAUAUCAAUAAGCGGAGGA